rnacentral:rRNA from 1 species
AGUGAACGCUGGCGGUAGGCCUAACACAUGCAAGUCGAACGGCAGCACAGUAAGAGCUUGCUCUUACGGGUGGCGAGUGGCGGACGGGUGAGGAAUACAUCGGAAUCUACUUUUUCGUGGGGGAUAACGUAGGGAAACUUACGCUAAUACCGCAUACGACCUACGGGUGAAAGCAGGGGAUCUUCGGACCUUGCGCGAUUGAAUGAGCCGAUGUCGGAUUAGCUAGUUGGCGGGGUAAAGGCCCACCAAGGCGACGAUCCGUAGCUGGGCUGAGAGGAUGAUCAGCCACACUGGAACUGAGAAACGGGCCAGACUCCUAGGGGAGGCAGCAGUGGGGAAUAUUGGACAAUGGGCGCAAGCCUGAUCCAGCCAUACCGCGUGGGUGAAGAAGGCCUUCGGGUUGUAAAGCCCUUUUGUUGGGAAAGAAAAUCAGCAGGUUAAUACCCCGCUGUUCUGACGGUACCCAAAGAAUAAGCACCGGCUAACUUCGU